UGCUACGGCCAUGGCACCCUGAACAAGUCAGAUCUGAUCUGAUCUCAGAAGCCAAUCAGGUUUGGGCCUGAUUAAUAUUUAGAUGGGAGACCACCUAAAAAAAAGACCAGGUGC
rnacentral:rRNA from 1 species